rnacentral:rRNA from 1 species
UGAUUACUAGAUAGUUUACGUAUCCUUCAGACGCGGAUAAUUCUCCGAAAGGGGUUGUAAUACGCGAUGAGACCACAGCUGAUCCGUCAGCAGGGGUCAACGGUUCGGGAUCCUUCGGGACCGAGCGCUGUUGGAGCGGACGACCUCCGAUUAGCUAGUUGGCGGGGUAACGGCCCACCAAGGCGAUGAUCGGUAGCCGGCCUGAGAGGGUGUCCGGCCACACUGGGACUGAGACACUGCCCAGACUCCUACGGGAGGCUGCAGUCGCGAAUCAUUCACAAUGGGCGCAAGCCUGAUGAUGCCACGCCGUGUGCGGGAUGAAGGCCCUUUGGGUUGUAAACCGCUGUCAAGGAAGAGGAACCGCCACUGGUGAAUAGUCAGUGGUCUGACUGCUUUCUAAAGGAAGCCCCCGGCAAAACAUGUGCCAGCAGCCGCGGUAAUACAUGUGGGGCAAGCGUUGUUCRGAAUUACUGGNCAUAAAGGGUGCGUAAGCGGUUUGUUAGUCACUGGUGGAAAUUNUUCGGCCCCACCCGGA